rnacentral:rRNA from 1 species
UACGGAGGGUGCAAGCGUUAUCCGGAUUUACUGGGUUUAAAGGGUGCGUAGGUGGGUCUGUAAGUCAGUGGUGAAAUCUUCAAGCUUAACUUGGAAACUGCCAUUGAUACUAUAGGUCUUGAAUUAUCUGGAGGUAAGCGGAAUAUGUCAUGUAGCGGUGAAAUGCUUAGAUAUGACAUAGAACACCAAUUGCGAAGGCAGCUUACUACGGAUCGAUUGACACUGAGGCACGAAAAGCGUGGGGAUCAAACAGGAUUAGAACUACGUAGUCAGA